CAGCAGCCACGGUAAUACGGAGGGCGCAAGCGUUAAUCGGGAUUACUGGGCGUAAAGCGUGCGUAGGUGGUGGUUUAAGUCCGUUGUGAAAGCCCUGGGCUCAACCUGGGAAUUGCAGUGGAUACUGGGUCACUAGAGUGUGGUAGAGGAUAGUGGAAUUUCCGGUGUAGCAGUGAAAUGCGUAGAGAUCGGAAGGAACAUCUGUGGCGAAGGCGACUAUCUGGGCCAACACUGACACUGAGGCACGAAAGCGUGGGGAGCAAACAGGAUUAGAUACCCGGGUAGUCCCUGUCUCUUAUAC
rnacentral:rRNA from 1 species